GUUAGUUUAGUUUUCAAUAUUCUCUUAUUGUUUCUGCAGGAUAUGGAGCUGGACCAGCAAAUCUACAAAAAAUGAAAGGUUUUGGUGCUCAAGCUGGUGGAUACGGCAGACAAGCAUCUAAAGGCAAUGGUGCUGCAGCUGCUUCACGAAGUGGAUUUGGAAGUAAAGGCAAUGG